rnacentral:misc_RNA from 1 species
GGCUUUCCUCUUGGAUUGCUUUAACGGCACACCAAAGGACUCUCUCUCCACCGCCGCCAUCGUUUGUGAAGGGAUGGAAGAAGCCAACAGCUCGCUUUCUGUUCCUUCUGCCAUUGAUUAUCUGGGAAGUGAAGGUCAAGAUUAAGGUUAAUAUAGCAGUGAAGAGAGGGAUGAUGAGAAGGUAAAUCCCGUUAUCCAUUAUAUCAACGUGGAGAAGGAGAUCAAUUAGAUGACCAUGAUGAUGAUGAUGAUGUGGAGAAGAAC